rnacentral:lncRNA from 1 species
AGGCCUGCUGACCCCAGAGAGGAAGGUCAGCACUUAAGCAAACUGUGCAGAGUCCCUUCACCUGUCAAUACAAGGAUUCAAAGGGCCCUUAUAUCCAACUACAGAUGCAAGCGUUGAAAUCUUUUCAGUUGGCUUCCUCUUCUAAAUGUCAGUGACUUAACUGACAUGAAUGCAUAAUUAAUGACGUCAUCUGGGGGCAAAGUGGAGAACCAACUUGCACUCAUUUUUCUAAAAAAUUUUCUCAGUGUGCUUCUAAGAUGUUUACACCCCAGGGAUUAUGUAGAUCUUGAAAUAGCCUUAAAUCAGUGUCUCAUGAUAAGUGGGGACAUUGAUUAAACAGACUUUCCCCCAAUAGGUAGUUAAGUGGUAUGUGAGAGAGGGCAAGCAAGUCAUCCCAGAAAACUGAGUUCCUGAAGAGAGAUUAAUAAAGACGUAGAUAAAUGAAGAGGACAUUGUCCCUGGUGGCUGAUUGUGAACCAGGGAGCUUCAGUUGGCACAAUUCAGGGUUCAAGAAUGGAAAACUAAAGAAAUGAAAUAAAACGAAAGCUAAGGAAAUGGAGUGUAGAGAAAGGAGUUUUUAAGAGUGAAUCAUUUGCAGAAAGGGGCCUUC